UACGUAGGGUGCAAGCGUUGUCCGGAAUUAUUGGGCGUAAAGAGCUCGUAGGCGGUCUGUCGCGUCGGCUGUGAAAACCCGGGGCUCAACCCCGGGCCUGCAGUCGAUACGGGCAGACUAGAGUGCGGUAGGGGAGACUGGAAUUCCUGGUGUAGCGGUGAAAUUCGUAGAUAUCGGGAGGAACACCAGUGGCGAAGGCGGCGACCUGGGCCAAUAUUGACGCUGAGGUGCGAAAGCGUGGGGAGCAAACAGG
rnacentral:rRNA from 1 species